AAUAAAAAGAUUAGUGUCUGCUUGCAGAACUUGCAUACAGGUGCUGCACGGCUGUCGUCAGCUCGUGUCGUGAGAUGUUGGGUUAAGUCCCGCAACGAGCGCAACCCUCGUCCUUAGUUGCUAACAGUUCGGCUGAGAACUCUAAGGAGACUGCCUACGCAAGUAGGAGGAAGGUGAGGAUGACGUCAAGUCAUCAUGGCCCUUACGUCCAGGGCUACACACGUGCUACAAUGGGGUAUACAAAGAGCAGCAAUACGGUGACGUGGAGCAAAUCUCAAAAAUGCCUCCCAGUUCGGAUUGUAGUCUGCAACUCGACUACAUGAAGUUGGAAUCGCUAGUAAUCGUAGAUCAGCUAUGCUACGGUGAAUACGA
rnacentral:rRNA from 1 species